rnacentral:rRNA from 1 species
GAGUUUGAUCAUGGCUCAGGAUGAACGCUAGCGGCAGGCCUAACACAUGCAAGUCGAGGGGCAGCAUAAUGAAUAGCAAUAUUUAUUGAUGGCGACCGGCGGACGGGUGCGUAACGCGUAUGCAACCUGCCCGGGACAGGAGGAUAAUCCGAAGAAAUUUGGUCUAACACUCCGUAAUACUGACGAAGGCAUCUUUGUCGGUUGAAAACUGAGGUGGUUCCGGAUGGGCAUGCGUGAUAUUAGCUGGAUGGAGAGGUAACGGCUCACCAUGGCUACGAUAUCUAGGGGAACUGAGAGGUUAAUCCCCCACACUGGUACUGAGACACGGACCAGACUCCUACGGGAGGCAGCAGUGAGGAAUAUUGGUCAAUGGGAGGAAUCCUGAACCAGCCAUGCCGCGUGCAGGACGACGGCUCUACGAGUUGUAAACUGCUUUUGUACCGGGGUAAAAUGCCUUACGAGUAGGGUUUUGAAAGUACGGUACGAAUAAGGAUCGGCUAACUCCGUGCCAGCAGCCGCGGUAAUACGGAGGAUCCGAGCGUUAUCCGGAUUCAUUGGGUUUAAAGGGUGCGUAGGUUGUUUUAUAAGUUAGCGGUGAAAUACCGAUGCUCAGCAUCGGGGCUGCCGCUGAUACUGUAGGACUAGAGAUCGGAUGCAGCAGGCGGAAUGUGUAGUGUAGCGGUGAAAUGCAUAGAUAUUACACAGAACACCGAUUGCGAAGGCAGCUUGCUAGGCCGGAUCUGACACUGAUGCACGAAAGCGUGGGGAUCGAACAGGAUUAGAUACCCUGGUAGUCCACGCAGUAAACGAUGAUAACUAGUUGUCGGCGAUACACAGUCGGUAACCCAGCGAAAGCGAUAAGUUAUCCACCUGGGGAGUACGACCGCAAGGUUGAAACUCAAAGGAAUUGACGG